GAAAGGGAAGGAGGGAGGAAGCGAGGGAAAAGGGGUGGGGGAGACGGCGGGAUAGAGGACAAUACUUUUUAAUAGCUUUUUAAUUAAAUCGAAGUUUUCAUCCAAAUUCCUGCUUGACCAGUGGCUAGUUCUGUGGUCUUGGUCCCUUGGGUUGAAAAUGGCCAACAUUGAAGAAAAAGUCAACUGCGUUCUCUGGUUAGCUGAACUCAAGUCAGCAACAGCUGUAAGAAGAAAAUUUGCUUCUCAUUAUAAGAAGGAGGCUCCCCACAGAAAUUUAAUUAACAACUGGAUGAAAAAAUUCAAGGAAACUGGCUCAAUUCAUGAUAAGCCUAGAUCUGGGAGACCCCAAGCAAGUGAAGAGACUGUGGCAGAAAUUGCAAAUCAAGUAUUUAUAGCACAAGAUGGUGGCUAUGUUGAAUUUUAAUAAGAUACAACAAUAUUUUUAAAUUUUUUAAAAAUUAACUUUUUAAGUGUUGUUAGUUUGUAGCAUUUAUAUUUAAGAUGAUUAAAGCUUUAAAACUGCACUGAGA